GACGAACGCUGGCGGCGUGCCUAAUACAUGCAAGUCGAGCGGACCAACCAGGAGCUUGCUCUUGUUUGGUUAGCGGCGGACGGGUGAGUAACACGUGGGUAACCUGCCCGUAAGACCGGGAUAACUCCGGGAAACCGGAGCUAAUACCGGAUAACACCGAAGACCGCAUGGUCUUUGGUUGAAAGGCGGCUUCGGCUGCCACUUACGGAUGGGCCCGCGGCGCAUUAGCUAGUUGGUGAGGUAACGGCUCACCAAGGCGACGAUGCGUAGCCGGCCUGAGAGGGUGACCGGCCACACUGGGACUGAGACACGGCCCAGACUCCUACGGGAGGCAGCAGUAGGGAAUCUUCCGCAAUGGACGAAAGUCUGACGGAGCGACGCCGCGUGAGCGAAGAAGGUCUUCGGAUCGUAAAGCCCUGUUGUUAGGGAAGAAGAAGCGCCGUUCGAACAGGGCGGCGCGGUGACGGUACCUAACGAGAAAGCCCCGGCUAACUACGUG
rnacentral:rRNA from 1 species